rnacentral:rRNA from 1 species
CGUGUAGGCGGCCUGUUAAGUCUGGUGUGAAAGCCCGGGGCUUACCCCCGGAAGGGCACUGGAAACUGGGAGGCUGGAGUACCGGAGAGGAGGGUGGAAUUCCUGGUGUAGCGGUGAAAUGCGUAGAUAUCAGGAGGAACACCGGUGGCGAAGGCGGCCCUCUGGACGGAUACUGACGCUGAGACGCGAAAGCGUGGAGAGCAAACAGGAUUAGAUACCCUGGUAGUCCACGCUGUAAACGAUGGGCACUAGGUGUUCGGGGUAUUGACCCCCUGAGUGCCGCAGCUAACGCAUUAAGUGCCCCGCCUGGGGACUACGGCCGCAAGGUUAAA